CAUCAGCAGCAUUACUUCUGCAGCUUUUUCAAUAAAGUAGUAAAUCUCACCGUGAUUUUUCCUGGGCUCUGCACACCGGUUCUGUGUAUUAAAUUGCACAGAGAACACAGCAUAAGGGAGUGGUUGUGUACUUAUCAGUUACCAUGGAAGUAAUUAAGGGCACACCUAGCCUAGUGGGCCCAUGAGCACUCAGAUCUGGGUAUACAGUCCAUGUGACACAUCAGAGUGAGAGUGGGGCAGGUGUUCCAGCCCUUGUCUCACUCCUUCCAUUGCAUCAUAGCACCUGGAUGUGGGGUUCCAAGGGAGCCCACACACCCCUGCUUUGCUUGCCAGUCUCUGGAAAUCUGGGAAGAGCUGCAGUGACAAGAGCACCUGAGUAUUUCUGGCAAGUUUUGGACAUUUGUUUACUUAAGUGGAUGUUUUCUCCUAUUCAGUCAUAUCAAAAAGAUCUGGCCGCCCAUCUCAUGCAAUUUGCCAACCUUGUCCCUGUCUUGUCUGGCAGAAGGUGAGGGUCGUUUUUUCCACUUCUGUGGCUGUACUUGGAAAACACUAGCUAUGAUGGGAGACAUCAGUACCCUGACCAGCUGUAGCUGGCUCCUCACAGCCUCCUCAAUCCCAGUUUUCCUUGCUUUUCCUUACUUUUCUUCCAUUUCCUUACUCUUGUUCCUGUUCUCACAGGAGUAUGCCUUUCUCUUUUCAGAAGGCAGUAAAAAGCACCUCUCUGACAUAAAGCUUUUUCUUAGGUCAUGUCAAGUUCUGUCUUCAAAGAGUAGAGAUACUUGAGCUUCUCAAAGAAGAAGGAUGCCAAGACCUUUUAACUCUGGCAGUGAAAAGUGCUUUUCUUAGGCUUCAUUUUCAGAAACAUAUGCACUGUUUUAGUGGAGAUACCCAAAAUUACAUUUAGCACGAGGCUACAUUUUUUAACAGUUGAAAAUUAUCUAGAAGGGGGAAACUGCGCAACAGCUGUAGCAGGCAGCACCACUGCCAGCUUCACCUCCUCCUUCACAUCAGGAAAUGCCAAUUUGACUUUGAAUGUCUUCAGAGUCCUUUUUCACAACAUGUUGGCAAAUAUGCAGUCUUGGAAAGAUUUACUAUGAUGCUGCAAGUUUUACAAGGCUCCCAGUAGAGUCAGUUGUCCGAGGAGGAGGCGAUGCAUGAGCAGUGAACUGCUGCCUGCUUUGCUGGUUUGUAAGAGUUAGUUGAGGAGUGAGAGCCCCACUUUGGAAUUUGAAUUGUUUGUGAGUCCCUUGAUGGUAGGACUGCAUGUGCAUUUGUAUAUCUCCUAAUCAUCCUUCCUCCAAGACUGGUUCUAUGUAUGUAAAUCAAAAAAUAAAAGACACCUCACAAAUUACAGGAGCCUGUAUCACCAUGGUCUUACCAUUUUAUAGAAGGGUCAGACAGGGAUGCUGAUAUCUGGAGAAGGAUUGGUGGUACGACAGAAACUUCACAGCUGUUGAAGCUGAUUUUUGAAUUUUUAAUGGUAAACUUGAAGAGCAGCCUUAUGUUGUUCAAGGUCUGUCUAUCAUGUACUUUUUCCAAGGUAGUAGAAUGAACACAUGAUCCCCAGGAAGUUAAUAAUAAUUCUUUCAUGCUGGGAAAAAAAGUGAAAGGAAAAAUGAGCUACAUAAGAUUUGCCUGUGACAUUUGAAGUCCAAAUGGGAGUUUGUCUGAGUAAUUUAUCUUUGGGUAUUUGCAGGAGGGAGAGUAGGAGAAUAUGAAUAAGGGCAUCUUAGUUACGUUUGAGCUUUCUGAUAGAUAAAGAGAAUUUUUGGUGGCUCUGUCUGGCUGGAAGGUCUAUCUGUGUGAUCUCUUCUCUGGCAGAUGGAAGAUAACACUAGGAGGAGUACUUUAAUUAUCAAAGCAUGAGAAUUACUCCAGUGCAGUAUCACCCUGAGACACCGCUUUCUUUCAGAGUGACAGGUGAUGUUUCUGGGAUGUUAGAGAGAGCUGAUUUCCCCCUGCGGCACUGAACUUGUGUACACCAGAUUUUCUCUGGCAGUAUUAAACUUGUCCACAUUGUGUAUCUGUUGCUGGUGAGAAAAGAAACAAAAAUACAAAGUAUCCUUACAGAGAACAUAGCAAGUGCAAAGGGACUGAAGGAAGAGGAUAUGUUUAUCGAUUUGAUUAAUAUUUCUUUCACAAUCUGCUUAGAUUCUUUGAGUUCCUACAAACUACUUUUUGAAACAUGUAAAAGAUGAUUAGACUGACAUAAAUUGAAAACUUUCUGCAUGGAGAGAUUCUUUCUCAAAGUGCGUAGCAAUUUUCAUUUCCCACUGUUGUUGGCUUUUUGCUUGCACAGGUGUUUGAGCAACCUCACGUUUCCAUCAAGACUUCUCUUUGCAGUGUGCAGGGUUCCAUGUGAACCUACCAACAGUCCUGCAUCCAGACCUUCCUUUAAUUUCUAGGAAUAACAUUCAGCAUGUUCUUGUGAGCAUCAGGAGUUAACUAAUGGAGGCACCUUCUGUGAAUUGCCUACAACUUUGGCAGUUUUCUGGUGAAAAGGCUAGAAGUAAUGUUCCAUGAGGAGUGGCUGAGGACUUUGGGCUUGUCUAGUUUGGAGAAAAAGAUGGUGAGGGGCAACCUCUCUACAGCUUCCUGAGCAGGGGAAGUGGAGAAGGAGUCGCUGAUAUCUUCUACUUGGUAUUCAGUGAUAGUAUAUGUGGGAAAUGGUUCAAAGCUGUGUCAAGGGAGGAUCAGACUGGACAAUGGGAAGCAUUUCUUUAUGAAGAGGGUGAUCAAACACUGGAACAGGCUUCCUAGAGAGGUGGUUGAUGCCCCAAGCCCCAUCAGUGUCUGAGACACUUGGACAAUGCCCUAAACUUUUGGUCAGCCCUGAAUUGGUCAGGCAUUUGGACUGUUGUAGGUCCCUUUCAACUGAAAUACUUGGUUCUUUCUGAUUAUUUUACAGUUUGGAUGCUGGCUGUACAGUGGAAUGUGCUCAUGAUACACAGCAGACCAUGAGGUUGACAAAAGUCAUGUCUGUGAGACCAUAUUUGCCUCAGUCACCAUUCCCUUUGCUCUGGAGGAGGUUAGGAGAAAGCCAUUUGAGAAGGAAGGUUUGUCAAUACUAUAUCUCAUUUGAACAUCAAGCCCUACAGAGACUCCAAGAUAAUUGUUUAUGCAACUGCUUUCUGUUUCCUGUGCUGGUCAGCUUGGCUUUAGUUUGGUUUUCUGAAGACCCCUGUAAUUUAUGGAAGUGCCAGUGCUAAGCAAUUAAACUGGGUAGCAGCAAUGUUACAAAUAGAUUUUACAGAAGCUGUUGUUUACAACAUUGUGAUCCAUGAUGAGCUGUGUGCCAGUGUGCAUGAAUAAAAUAAAGAUGUCACACAUUUUGAAAAUGCA